rnacentral:rRNA from 1 species
AUUGAACGCUGGCGGCAUGCCUUACACAUGCAAGUCGAACGGUAACAGGUCGUCGGAUGCUGACGCGCGGCGAACGGGCGAGUAAUACAUCGGAACGUGCCCGAUCGUGGGGGUUAACGAGGCGAAAGCUUUGCUAAUACCACAUACGAUCUACGGACGAAAGCGGGGGAGCGUCGGACCACGCGCGGACGGAUCGGCCGGUGGCAGCUUAGGUAGUUGGUGGGGUAAACGCAUACGAAGCCGACGAUCUGUAGCGGGUCUGAGAGGAUGAGCAGCCACACUGGGACUGAGACACGGCCCAGACUCCUACGGGAGGCAGCAGUGGGGAAUUUUGGACAAUGGGCGAAAGCCUGAUCCAGCCAUGCCGCGUGCAGGAUGAAGGCCUUUGGGUUGUAAACUGCUUUUGUGCGGAGCGAAACGCCUCUUUCUAAUACAGAGGGGUCAUGACGGUACCGGAAGAAUAAGCACCGGCUAACUACGUG